rnacentral:rRNA from 1 species
GAUGAACGCUGGCGGCGUGCCUAAUACAUGCAAGUCGAGCGAAUGGAUUAAGAGCUUGCUCUUAUGAAGUUAGCGGCGGACGGGUGAGUAACACGUGGGUAACCUGCCCAUAAGACUGGAUAACUCCGGGAAACCGGGGCUAAUACCGGAUAACAUUUUGAACCGCAUGGUUCGAAAUUGAAAGGCGGCUUCGGCUGUCACUUAUGGAUGGACCCGCGUCGCAUUAGCUAGUUGGUGAGGUAACGGCUCACCAAGGCAACGAUGCGUAGCCGACCGGAGCGGGUGAUCGGCCACACUGGGACUGAGACACGGCCCAGACUCCUACGGGAGGCAGCAGUAGGGAAUCUUCCGCAAUGGACGAAAGUCUGACGGAGCAACGCCGCGUGAGUGAUGAAGGCUUUCGGGUCGUAAAACUCUGUUGUUAGGGAAGAACAAGUGCUAGUUGAAUAAGCUGGCACCUUGACGGUACCUAACCAGAAAGCCACGGCUAACUACGUGCCAGCCGCCGCGGUAA